AUACACCGGAAAAGGCUUGCAACAUAGUCAUGGCCUGUUGUGUACUACAUAACAUGGCCAUCAAGCAUGGCAUUCCACUUGUUCAGGAAGACCAACCUGACGAAACGAUACCAGACGCACCACCUUUCCAACCUCCAAAUGCCUUGGCAGUUCAAAGGAGGAUGGAGAUUAUUCAACGUUUUCGAGACUGAGUCUGUCAGGACCCUUGGUUCACGGCUUGAUGUGGCGCGGGAGCGUGGCGCCUCACUGUGGGUCGCAGCGGGGGGAAUAAUUGCCUCUCCCAGGAUGACUCCGGAACUGUCUCCACUCACUGCAAUUUAUGGAAUUAUUUGAUUACUGCAUCAGAGCAGAUUAUAAUUUCCUGUCAAAUAAAGUGGUGACCACAAUAUUGACAA